UACAGAGGGUGCGAGCGUUAAUCGGAAUUACUGGGCGUAAAGCGCACGUAGUCGGCUUUGCAAGUCGGUUGUGAAAUCCCCGGGCUCAACCCAGGAACUGCGUCCAAGACUGGGAGGCUUGAAUCCGGGAGAGGGAUGCGGAAUUCCAGGUGUAGCGGUGAAAUGCGUAGAUAUCUGGAGGAACACCGGUGGCGAAGGCGGCAUCCUGGACCGGUAUUGACACUGAGGCGCGAAAGCCAGGGGAGCAAACGGG
rnacentral:rRNA from 1 species